rnacentral:rRNA from 1 species
UAAACGACUCUCGGCAACGGAUAUCUCGGCUCUCGCAUCGAUGAAGAACGUAGCGAAAUGCGAUACUUGGUGUGAAUUGCAGAAUCCCGUGAACCAUCGAGUUUUUGAACGCAAGUUGCGCCCGAAACCAUUAGGUCGAGGGCACGCCUGCCUGGGCGUCUCRC